rnacentral:rRNA from 1 species
GCCAGCCCGCUCAGAACUUAAAGGAAUUGACGGGGGCCCGCACAAGCGGUGGAGCAUGUGGUUUAAUUCGAUGAUACGCGAGGAACCUUACCUGGGCUCAAAUGUAUGUUGACGUAUUCUGAAAGGGAUACUUCUUCGGACAAUAUACAAGGUGCUGCAUGGUUGUCGUCAGCUCGUGCCGUGAGGUGUCGGGUUAAGUCCCAUAACGAGCGCAACCCCUAUCAUUAGUUGCCAUCAGGUCAAGCUGGGGACUCUAAUGAAACUGCCUACGCAAGUAGUGAGGAAGGUGGGGAUGACGUCAAAUCAGCACGGCCCUUACGUCCAGGGCUACACACGUGCUACAAUGGCCGGUACAAAGGGCAGCUACCUGGUGACAGGAUGCUAAUCUCAAAAGCCGGUCUCAGUUCGGAUCGGAGUCUGCAACCCGACUCCGUGAAGUCGGAAUCGCUAGUAAUCGUGAAUCAGAAUGUCACGGUGAAUACGUUCCCGGGCCUU